rnacentral:tRNA from 1 species
CCGACCUUAGCUCAGUUGGUAGAGCGGAGGACUGUAGUUAGCGAUUGCUUAAUAGAAAUCCUUAGGUCGCUGGUUCGAAUCCGGCAGGUCGGA